rnacentral:rRNA from 1 species
UACGGGGGGAGCAAGCGUUGUUCGGAUUUACUGGGCGUAAAGGGCGCGUAGGCGGCCACCGCAAGUCGACUGUGAAAUCUCCGGGCUUAACCCGGAAAGGUCAGCCGAUACUGGCGAGCUAGAGUACGGUAGAGGGCGGCGGAAUUCCGGGUGUAGCGGUGAAAUGCGUAGAUAUCCGGAGGAACACCGAUGGCGAAGGCAACCGCCUGGGCCUGUACUGACGCUGAGACACGAAAGCGUGGGGAGCAAACAGG